rnacentral:rRNA from 1 species
GAUGAACGCUAGCGGCAGGCUUAACACAUGCAAGUCGAGGGGCAGCACGGGUAGCAAUACCUGGUGGCGACCGGCGCAAGGGUGCGUAACGCGUGAGCAACAUGCCCUAUACAGGGGGAUAAUCCAGGGAAACUUGGUCUAAUAUCCCAUAGUAUUUAGAGGAGGCAUCUUCUAUAAAUUAAAGCUUCGGUGGUAUAGGAUUGGCUCGCGUGACAUUAGCUAGAUGGUGAGGUAACGGCUCACCAUGGCAAUGAUGUCUAGGGGUUCUGAGAGGAAGGCCCCCCACACUGGGACUGAGACACGGCCCAGACUCCUACGGGAGGCAGCAGUGAGGAAUAUUGGACAAUGGAUGGAAAUCUGAUCCAGCCAUGCCGCGUGCAGGAAGACAGCCCUAUGGGUUGUAAACUGCUUUUAUAUGGGAGCAAUAAGGUCUACGUGUAGACUGAUGAGAGUACCAUAUGAAUAGC